rnacentral:piRNA from 1 species
CUGACUAUUGGGGCUCCCCAAGAUC